UAGAAGUGCCCUCUCUAUGGCGCAUCACUCAUUGAUUCCAGAUGGGCAACAUUCUGCUUCGCAAUCAAAGAGCAUAGUUUUUGCCUGCUAUCAUUGCUUACAUAUGAGAGUAGAGAUAAUUAAUUGUGCUCCUGACUUGCUUUUCUAACCUAAGUGUUCCUAGGAUUGCCUUGUUUAAUUGCAUCUGAAUAUUAGCUGCCUGAUAAGGGUAGAGAUAAAUGCCUUUUCCUCUUAUAUUUAUCUUUAUGUCGGUGGCGCUCUUGUUUAAUUUCUCAACGGUUUUUGCCGCUGCCAGUUGUUGGAUUCAUCAGACACAUUGCCUUUUAGACUUGGCAGUGGAUUUGGGAUUAUUGAUGGCCUAGCCACUGAACAGCGAAUGACGGAGUCAGAUGUGGCUUGAAGCGCAAAUGCUUCACCGAACUUAAUAAAACUCAUACCUGCACAUGGAGCAGUCCUGAAUGGUUCACCAUUCAAGACACCACAAAACUUUAGAAGUAUCCAGACUUGCUAAACUUUUUAUUCAUUAACAGUGAGAGAAAGAUGUCUUGACAAUUUGUCCGCUGGAAAAUCUUAUUUGCUAUUUGUUUCAUGUAGGUUUUGUAAUUGCUUGAAGUUGUCCAGUUCAGAUGUCCAUACACUUCAAUGAAAUACCCUCAGCUGCUUUCCAAUCUGAGAGUUGAAUCGAAGAUUGAAGAGAUCCUACGGAAUUCUACAACAUCUGAAUUUGGUAGUGUAUAUUAUUUUUCGAAGAGAGGUGAUUGAAUGAUUGAUCUUGAUGUGUUCCAUCAAAAGCUUAUCUAGGUUGCUUGUUCAGUCUUGUUCAUAUUGGGUUUGAGAUUAUUAUGUUCUUCAAGUUGCUUCUCUUGAUGUUUAGAUGUCUCAAGAACUGCGCACACAAUUGAGCGAGUCUGAGAAAGGAGAGCUAAAAGAAUCGUUCCAUCAUAUGCUGAAAUGGGCCUGGAGAUAUAAUAAAUAUCUUGAAGAACAGGCAGCCCAGCUUCACAUGUUAACUAGCUGGUCGAAAACUGUUGAAGUGAGUUGUGUGUGUGCAUGACCACUUAAUCUUUUCUGUUGGGAAUUUCAUAUUGUAACCCGCUUAUUGUUAAUUUCAGGUAGCUGUAUCAAGAAGUAAUAAUUUUAAGACAUUGAAGUUCAGAACCUCUAUUGAAACUCUUUCGUAGUAUUAUAUGAACUUUUGUAUUUGAACUCUUUCAUAGACGUUUAUACUGAGGUUGCUCUUCUAUAGACAUUUAUAGAGGUUGCUCUUUUAUAGACAUUUCGAAGCAAGCCGCUAAGCCCAAGUCUCGAAUCAGGAUUGUCGUCGUUCGUCAGUCCCAAGUAUUUGAAUUCUUCCGUAUCUCUGCUCUUGAUUACAUAUGGUGCGAGAUUCUAAUUUCUUGGACUAUAGUGCAGCUAGGAGAUUGUGGCGGCAGGGGUGGGUUUUGGGUCGGCGAGCUGCAGGGAUUUGCUGGACGCACGCCAUCACAUGUCGAGCCACACAUAGUGACCGAUGGUGGCGGAUUAGAGUUGGAAUUCAAGAGGUUUGUGUGGUUUCAGUUAUCCGAUGAUUGGGCGAGAGCGGAGCAACAGAGGCCGGCCAAGAACAUGACCAGGGAUAACACAUCUUGCUUGAUUUCCCGAGCGACCCAAGGUUGGUUGCAUCCUGCAUGACCUCUAUUGUUCAUGAGAGUUUUGUGAUGUUCUUUUUUUAGAGAAGUUUUGUGAUCUUAAUUCAUGAGACAUUUGACGUGAUACUAUGUGGCUGUAAACGUAAUCUGCAAUUCAGAGCAAACAGAGUGAACAAACCAAGGACAUGCAGGUUAGUCCGUUAGUGUCUUACUUUUCUUUUUGUAAUUCUAUCGUACUGUAUAGUUAGUACAAAAUCAUCAAAUAUUCAGGAUAUGUUUAUAAUUUUGUGAAACUGAAAUGUGCAACAUGUUCAGUGGACUGGUGAAUUAUAAUUUUGUGAAACUGAAAUGUGUUACUGAAACCUGACUGGUGAUGAACUAACCGAUUCACACAAAGGCUUGCUGAUAACAACUUGAGUUGGCCGAGUCUCGCCGAGUUGAGCGUGGAGUAGAUGGUGUCGAGUGAACUUGAGUCAGUGUCAUUCGCUGUAAUGAUCGCCCGGGCGGCCGUGUAGCUGUCUUAGAUGGAGUCCAGGGGGAAGACCAAGAGGAGGUGCGAUAAGAUUGAGCUUUCCAGAAUUUUGGGGAGGUGGCGCUUGUCGCACUGCAAAACUUUUAUUUGUAUAUGUUGCAUGCUACUACCUCCUAAUCAAUAUGUCAUUGAAAUGAAGUAGAUGCAGCUCUUCAUAGAUAUUGUCACAUGUUCUGGUUUGCAGGUUAAAUAUUUGAUGCCCUCAUUUUGGUAAUGAGAGCAAUGCAAUAUUCUGAAGGUCA